rnacentral:rRNA from 1 species
UACGUAGGGUGCAAGCGUUGUCCGGAAUUAUUGGGCGUAAAGAGCUCGUAGGCGGUUUGUCGCGUCUGCUGUGAAAACUCGGGGCUUAACUCCGGGCCUGCAGUGGGUACGGGCAGACUAGAGGUAGGUAGGGGAGAAUGGAAUUCCCGGUGUAGCGGUGAAAUGCGCAGAUAUCGGGAGGAACACCGGUGGCGAAGGCGGUUCUCUGGGCCUUACCUGACGCUGAGGAGCGAAAGCGUGGGGAGCGAACAGG